rnacentral:rRNA from 1 species
CAGCCGCCACGGUAAUACGGAGGGUGCAAGCGUUAAUCGGAAUUACUGGGCGUAAAGCGCACGCAGGCGGUCUGUCAAGUCAGAUGUGAAAUCCCCGGGCUUAACCUGGGAACUGCAUUUGAAACUGGCAGGCUAGAGUCCUGUAGAGGGGGGUAGAAUUCCAGGUGUAGCGGUGAAAUGCGUAGAGAUCUGGAGGAAUACCGGUGGCGAAGGCGGCCCCCUGGACAAAGACUGACGCUCAGGUGCGAAAGCGUGGGGAGCAAACAGGAUUAGAUACCCCUGUAGUCCCUGUCUCUUAUAC